ensembl:lncRNA
CCGGCAGGCGCGAGGCGGAAGCGAAGAGCAGCUGCGGCAGGGGUUAGGGAGACCGCAGGUCAGAGUGGCCCCGGGGCAGAGGGGCCGGGGUCUGAGGUGCUUUCGCGGGGACGCGAGGUACCCGGGGGUGGCAGAGGCUUCCGAGGAAAGACUGCGCGCGACGGCGAGCCCCCGCCUCCUGCCCCGAGGCCGGCAUCCCUGGCGGGUCCCGAGGGGCCUGGUGCUAGGCUGGGCUGGGCCGGCCGGGGGCUGCUCGCGGGCCGCUUGCAGUUACCUCUUGGUCCUUCUGGACUGCCAGGAGGAAAUGGUUCUGGGGACGGUGCCUCCACCUUCCAGCACCGUCAGUUACAGUGUUACCAUAGUCGCCGUUAAGGCGGGAAACGAUGAACUCGGGCUCCUGGACCCCAAGCCACCCCGAGGAAUCGUCUGAGCAACCCGGGAUGAGGAAGAGUACAUCAUGAGAAAUGCUGGACUGGAAGAAC